rnacentral:rRNA from 1 species
CCCACCAUGCAUUGUCCCCGAUCCAGAUAAUGGACCUAGGUUAGAAUCCCAACCAUACCAGGGUGGUAUUUCAAGGAUGGCUCCACUCGAACUAGCGUCCAAGUUUCAAAGCCUCCCACCUAUUCUACACAGGUAGAAUCAGAGUUCAAUGCAAAGCUGUAGUAAAGGUGCACGGGGUCUUUCCGUCUGGCCGCGGGUAUACUGCAUCUUAACAGCAAUUUCAAUUUCACUGAGUCUCGGGUGGAGACAGUGUGGCCCUCGUUACGCCAUUCGUGCAGGUCGGAACUUACCCGACAAGGAAUUUCGCUACCUUAGGACCGUUAUAGUUACGGCCGCCGUUUACUUGGGCUUCAAUCAAAAGCUUCGGACGAAUCCUAACCUCAUCAAUUAACCUUCAAGCACCGGGCAGGCGUCACACCCUAUACGUCCACUUACGUGUUUGCAGAGUGCUGUGUUUUUAAUAAACAGUCGGAGCCACCUGGUAUCUUCAACUCUUACCAGCUCAUUUAGCAAGUAAAAUCACCGGCAAGAGCACACCUUCUCCCGAAGUUACGGUGUCAUUUUGCCUAGUUCCUUCACCCGAGUUCUCUCAAGCGCCUUAGAAUUCUCAUCUCGUCCACCUGUGUCGGUUUGGGGUACGGUUUCAUAUAACCUGAAGCUUAGAGGAUUUUCCUGGAAGCAUGGUAUCACGCACUUUUCCCAAAAGAGGGUUCGUUAUCACGCCUUGAGCUUUAGAUCUAAAUCUAAGAUUCCUGGAUUUUCCUAAGAACCUACUCUACACGCUUGAACUUGGACAACCAUCACCAAGCUGCGUUAACCUUCUCCGUCUUCCCAUCGCAGUUAUAUGAAGUAUGGGAAUAUUAACCCAUUUCCCAUCGACUACGCAUUUCUGCCUCGCCUUAGGACCGACUAACCCUACGCCGAUUAACGUUGCGUAGGAAACCUUGGACUUCUGGCGAGGGGGCUUUUCACCCCCUUUAUCGUUACUCAUGUCAGCAUUCGCACUUCUGAUACCUCCAGCAAACCUCACAGUUCACCUUCAACGGCUUACAGAACGCUCUCCUACCAUCGCAAUAAAUUGCAAUCCGUAGCUUCGGUAUGUAGUUUUAGCCCCGUUAAAUCUUCCGCGCAAACCGACUCGACCAGUGAGCUAUUACGCACUCUUUAAAGGAAUGGCUGCUUCUAAGCCAACCUUCUGGCUGUCUGGGCCUUUUCACAUCGUUUCCCACUUAACUACAAUUUUGGGACCUUAGCUGACGGUCUGGGUUGUUUCCCUUUCCACUACGGACGUUAGCACCCGCAGUGUGUCUCCCAUGCUCAUACUUGUCGGUAUUCGGAGUUUGCAAUGGUUUACUAAGCCUUGACGACCCGCUAGCCAUAACAGUGCUCUACCCCCGACAGUAAUACAUGAGGCUCUACCUAAAUAGAUUUCGGAGAGAACCAGCUAUCUCCGGGUUUGUUUGGCCUUUCACCCCUAUCCACAGCUCAUCCCCUUAUUUUUCAACAUAAGUGGGUUCGGGCCUCCAGUUAGUUUUACCUAACCUUCACCCUGGCCAUGGAUAGAUCACCCGGUUUCGGGUCUACUCCCAGCAACUAAACGCCCAUUUAAGACUCGGUUUCCCUACGGCUCCCCUAUUGGUUAACCUUGCUACUGAGAAGUAAGUCGCUGACCCAUUAUACAAAAGGUACGCAGUCACGGAAUAAAUCCGCUCCUACUGCUUGUAUGCAUACGAUUUCAGGUUCUAUUUCACUCCCCUCCCGGGGUUCUUUUCGCCUUUCCCUCACGGUACUUGUUCACUAUCGGUCAUUAGAGAGUAUUUAGCCUUGGA